rnacentral:rRNA from 1 species
AGCAGUAGCCACGGUAAUACGGAGGAUCCAAGCGUUAUCCGGAAUCAUUGGGUUUAAAGGGUCCGUAGGCGGUCUUGUAAGUCAGUGGUGAAAGCCCAUCGCUCAACGGUGGAACGGCCAUUGAUACUGCAGGACUUGAAUUAUUGGGAAGUAACUAGAAUAUGUAGUGUAGCGGUGAAAUGCUUAGAGAUUACAUGGAAUACCAAUUGCGAAGGCAGGUUACUACCAAUUGAUUGACGCUGAUGGACGAAAGCGUGGGUAGCGAACAGGAUUAGAUACCCCAGUAGUCCCUGUCUCUUAUAU